GGAGUGCAAUGGCAUAAGCUUGCUUGACUGUGAGACCUACAAGUCGAACAGGGUCGAAAGACGGACAUAGUGAUCCGGUGGUUCUGUAUGGAAGGGCCAUCGCUCAAAGGAUAAAAGGUACGCUGGGGAUAACAGGCUGAUCUCCCCCAAGAGCUCAUAUCGACGGGGAGGUUUGGCACCUCGAUGUCGGCUCGUCACAUCCUGGGGCUGGAGAAGGUCCCAAGGGUUGGGCUGUUCGCCCAUUAAAGUGGCACGCGAGCUGGGUUCAGAACGUCGCGAGACAGUUCGGUCCCUAUCUGUUGUGGGCGUUGGAAGUUUGAGUGGAUCUGACCUUAGUACGAGAGGACCGGGUUGGACAGACCUCUGGUGAACCUGUUAUGCCGCCAGGUGUACGGCAGGGUAGCUACGUCUGGAAUAGAUAAGCGCUGAAAGCAUCUAAGUGCGAAACUAGCCACGAGAUGAGACUUCCUUAUAGGGUCGUAGGAGAUGACUACGUUGAUAGGCCAUAGGUGUAAAGGUUGAGAGACCAAAGCCAAGUGGUACUAAUAGCCCGAAGCUUUCUCAAG
rnacentral:rRNA from 2 species